CUUCACAUGCAGGUCGAACGGCAGCACGGGAAGCAAUCCUGGUGGCGAGUGGCGAACGGGUGAGUAAUAUAUCGGAACGUGCCCAGUCGUGGGGGAUAACGUAGCGAAAGCUACGCUAAUACCGCAUACGAUCUACGGAUGAAAGCGGGGGACUUGCAAGAGCUUCGCGCGAUUGGAGCGGCCGAUAUCAGAUUAGGUUGUUGGUGAGGUAAAAGCUCACCAAGCCUGCGGUCUGUAGCUGGUCUGAGAGGACGACCAGCCACACUGGAACUGAGACACGGUCCAGACUCCUACGGGAGGCAGCAGUGGGGAAUUUUGGACAAUGGACGCAAGUCUGAUCCAGCAAUGCCGCGUGCAGGACGAAGGCCUUCGGGUUGUAAACUGCUUUUGUACGGAACGAAAAGGUUCGCUUUAAUACAGUGGGCUCAUGACGGUACCGUAAGAAUAAGCACCGGCUAACUACGUGCCAGCAGCCGCGGUAAUACGUAGGGUGCGAGCGUUAAUCGGAAUUACUGGGCGUAAAGCGUGCGCAGGCGGUUAUAUAAGUCAGAUGUGAAAUCCCCGGGCUCAACCUGGGACCUGCAUUUGAGACUGUAUAGCUAGAGUACGGUAGAGGGGGAUGGAAUUCCGCGUGUAGCAGUGAAAUGCGUAGAUAUGCGGAGGAACACCGAUGGCGAAGGCAA
rnacentral:rRNA from 1 species